AAAAAAAAAAAAAAAAAAAAAAUGGUGGCCAGGCGUAGUUGCUCACGUUUAUAAUCCCAGCACUUGGGGCCGUGCGCAGUGGCUCAAGCCUGUAAUCCCAGCACUUGAGAGGCCAAGGCAGGCAGAUCACUUGAGGUCAGGAGUUCGAAACCAGCCUGGCCGACAUGGUGAAACCCCAUCUCUACUAAAAAUAGGAAAGUAGCCGGGCAUGGUGACAGACGCCAGUAAUGCCAGCUAUUCAGGAGGCUGAGGCAGGAGAAUCGCUUGAACCCGAGAGGCGGAGGUUGCAAUGAGCUGAGAUCAUGCCAUUGCACUCCAGCCUGGGCAACAAGAGCGAAACUCCGUCUCAAAUCAUCAUCAUCAUCAUCAUCAUCAUCAUCAUCAUCCCAGCACUUUGGGAGGCCAAGACCAGAGGAUUCUUUGAGGCCAGGAGUUUGAGACCAGCCUGGGAAACAGUGAGACCCCAUUAAAAAAAAAAAAUUGUGAUUAAAUUUCUUCAUAUGCAAACACCAUUUAAAAAGGUUUGGGAAGUAUUUUUUAAUUUUAAAAGGUGGUGAUGAAAGACCUUUCACAUUAUCUUUACCAUUUAAGAAGAUGUGCAAUUGCAUAAGCUGCCUAGAACUAGGUGUGGUGUCUUUAAUAGCACCUAAAUCUAGAGACACUAUCUACAAAUGCACUGACAUUUUUCACUUUUCCUUAUUUGUCACUUUUACAAGUUGCCCAAUGUGUAAUUUAAAUGCUAGAUUGCAACUAUUUGUCACUAAUUAAAAAUAGUUAUAUAUUUAACAGUUUUAUCUUUGCCAUGGUUUAAAAAAUGAAAUCAAACAAAAAUAUUUCAUCUUGAAAAUAUUAUUCUUUAAAAAUUAUAUUUAGU
rnacentral:lncRNA from 1 species